CGUCAUUGUAUCAUUUCAAAUCCAAAGUGCUGGAGUACAGAGCCAAAACAACCAAAAAUGUGUCACUGUCCCAAUACUUUUGGAGCUCACUGUAUAUGUAAUAUAUGACCUGUGCAUCUCAUUCCACUAGUGGAUUCCAAAAAGCUGUCUACUGGACUGUGUAUCCUUGUGGGAGUGGCCCCUACCCCUAACCUAACAUCCGAGUUAUUUUCUUACUAUGUUAGCCAAAAGGAUUUCAGCAGAACCCCCUGCUCCCCCUCUACUCUCCCUCCCUCCACCCCUCCACAUCACGCUUAAUUUAAACCCAUGGCUGAGUUAGUGUGCUGCUUGAAAUACCACACUAUUUCUCCCAGAACCCUGUGGGAGAUUGGCGGGUCCCGGCUGGACUGAGCGAAAGAGAAAAAGUGCCACAAGACAAAAAUAUCAGACUUUGGGACGUGAUGAAGAAAGCCUUUAUACUGCGAGAAACAAAAAACUGCUUGUGUUGCAAUGCACACCUCCUAGGAUUGAAGAGGUAUUCCCCCUCGUUCUGGACCAGUGCUACCUCCAGACCAUUGACUGCAUCCAGAAACUAAAGUCAACAACCCAAGCUGUGAACGCAGAGGUUAAAGUUAGCCGUCAGUAUUUGAGGGAUACUGUGUAUGUGUGCGUGUGUGAACAUUUCUCUAGGCCCUGAAAACGAACGGACAGUAUGUGUGCCCCUCUAUGAGUCCAUUCAUUCCCACUGUAGCAACUUUCUCAUUUACAUGCAAUGGAAAGAAAAUAAACACGCUGCUUCAGCUGACUCCUAA